rnacentral:rRNA from 1 species
GUCGGAGGAAGGUGGGGAUGACGUCAAAUCAUCAUGCCCCUUAUGACCUGGGCUACACACGUGCUACAAUGGGCGGUACAAAGGGUCGCGAACCCGCGAGGGGGAGCCAAUCCCAAAAAGCCGCUCUCAGUUCGGAUUGCAGGCUGCAACUCGCCUGCAUGAAGCCGGAAUCGCUAGUAAUCGCAGGUCAGCAUACUGCGGUGAAUACCGGUUCCCGGGCCUU